rnacentral:rRNA from 1 species
AAAGAGUUCUAUAACUCCCAAACCCAUGUGAACAUACCUAACGUUGCCUCGGCAGGUCGCACCUACCUUGUAGCACCCUACCCUGUAGGGCCUACCCGGGAGGUGCGGGUAAGCCUGCCGGCGGCCCACCAAACUCUGUUUGAUAUUGAAUUCUGAACCUAUAACUAAAUAAGUUAAAACUUUCAACAACGGAUCUCUUGGUUCUGGCAUCGAUGAAGAACGCAGCGAAAUGCGAUAAGUAAUGUGAAUUGCAGAAUUCAGUGAAUCAUCGAAUCUUUGAACGCAUAUUGCGCCCAUUAGUAUUCUAGUGGGCAGGACCGUUCGAGCGUCAUUUCAACCCUUAAGCCUUCGUUGCUUAGUGUUGGGAGCCUACGGCAACGUAGCUCCUCAAAGUUAGUGGCGGAGUUGGUUCACACUCUAGACGUAGUAAUUUUUUAUCUCGCCUAUUAGUUGGACUAAUCCCCUGCCGUAAAACCCCCAAUUUAUCAAGGUUGACCUCGAAUCGGUUCAGACAAACUCGCUAAAUUGAAGCAUCUUAGUCAGCGAAGGAAAAGAAACCAACAGGGAUUGCCCUAGUAACGGCGAGUGAAGCGGCAACAGCUCAAAUUUGAAAUCUGGCCCUCGGGUCCGA